rnacentral:rRNA from 1 species
AUUGAACGCUAGCGGCAGGCCUUACACAUGCAAGUCGAACGAGUGGCGGACGGGUGAGUAAUGUAUGGGAAACUGCCCGGUGGCGGGGGAUAACUACUGGAAACGGUAGCUAAUACCGCAUACCAUCGGAUGUGCCGAGAUGGGAUUAGCUAGUAGGUGGGGUAAAGGCUCACCUAGGCGACGAUCCCUAGCUGGUCUGAGAGGACGACCAGCCACACUGGAACUGAGACACGGUCCAGACUCCUACGGGAGGCAGCAGUGGGGAAUAUUGCACAAUGGGCGCAAGCCUGAUGCAGCCAUGCCGCGUGUAUGAAGAAGGCCUUCGGGUUGUAAAGUACUUUCAGCGGGGAGGCGUUACCCGCAGAAGAAGCACCGGCUAACUCCGUGCCAGCAGCCGCGGUAAUUC